AAACACUGUUAUUUAUGGCCUCAUUCCUUUUUCUACAGGUGAACCUCUGGUACCAAGAGUUUGCUGUCAGUCAAUCCUCACAUGAACCUGAAGAAAGGCUCACAGCUCACUGCAGAAUGGAUGAGCGCGACUGAACUGUUGACCUCAAGCAACUGGCAAGUGUUUUUUCAGACCUGUGAGAAUGCUGACCCUAGAAAAAAGAAGUACUGCACGCUAACUUUGGAUUAAUUAUUUCCUUAGGAUUCUGGAAAGGUCCAGCAAAUACCUGCCUACAUGACUUCCUAAAGAAAAGAUUGAGAAGUAUUCAGGACACUUCAGUAGUCUGAUGACCUGGGUAGCCUGCCCCAUGGGGCCUGCUUUGUUUCAGACUUGCUGCUCUGAAUAGAGUGGACUACUUAGUUGUGUUUCCCAUUUUAAAGGGGGGACUUUGUUGUGAAGGGGGAAGGUUUGGAGAGAGGAUUAUGAAUACAAGGAAAUUCUUCUGUCUCUUCUGAUGAAGCUGUAACCUUUUUCUAAAUCACACAUUGAAGCUGAAGCUAGAAGCCAGAUUACCUGUUUCUAAUAAAUGAUUCAUGACCUCAAGCA
rnacentral:lncRNA from 1 species